CCUACGGGAGGCUGCAGUAAGGAAUAUUGGACAAUGGCCGCAAGGCUGAUCCAGCCAUCCAGCGUGCAGGAAGAAGGCCCUAUGGGUUGUAAACUGCUUUUGUCAGGGAAUAAACCCCUGGAUUUACUCCGGGGCUGAAGGUACCUGAAGAAUAAGCACCGGCUAACUCCGUGCCAGCAGCCGCGGUAAUACGGAGGGUGCGAGCGUUAUCCGGAAUUACUGGGUUUAAAGGGUGCGUAGGCGGCACUGUAAGUCAGGAGUGAAAGUUUGCGGCUCAACCGUAAAAUUGCUUUUGAUACUGCGGUGCUAGAAUUAGGAUGAGGUCAGCGGAAUGUGGCAUGUAGCGGUGAAAUGCAUAGAUAUGCCAUAGAACACCAAUUGCGAAGGCAGCUGGCUAGACCUGGAUUGACGCUGAGGCACGAAAGCGUGGGGAUCGAACA
rnacentral:rRNA from 1 species